CAGCAGCUGUUGCGUCAAGAGAAGUGAGAAUUAGAUGUUUAACAGCAGCGGUGCUGGGGACAACUGGUACCUAAUUAUUGCCCCAUUACAAGAAAAUGCAACUAAUGGAAACUGGUGCGAAAGACAGUUUUUUUUUUUUUUUUUUUAAUUCUGUUGAUGAUUUUUUGAUGGUGAUGUUAUCUGAUGCAGCAAAUGUUUAUCAUAACUUGACAAAAUCUCACUUGAAAUUUCUGAAAAACGUAAUUUUACUACUAAUUUUUUUCUCCAUUUUUAAGAUUAGUGGGUAAGUUGAUAGCAGGUGGGUGUCAAAUGGCUCAUCAACAGGUGGGUGUCAAAUGGCUCAUCAACAGGUGGGUGUCAAAUGGCUCAUCAACAGGUGGGUGUCAAAUGGCUCAUCAACAGGUGGGUGUCAAAUGGCUCAUCAACAGGUGGGUGUCAAAUGGCUCAUCAACAGGUGGGUGUCAAAUGGCUCA